GGCUCUUUAGUUCAGUGGUAAAAUACGUUGUUAGGGUCAACGUGGCCUGGGUUCGAUUCCCGGAAGAGCCC
rfam:Dictyostelium fasciculatum unplaced genomic scaffold Scf_ET5ZYIE02H8LDV-5, whole genome shotgun sequence.